AGCUAGCGUAAUGCCUUGAAAACACACAUGCACCGGCACAUGGUCCCGGGUGCCGCGAAUCAGGUCGCUUCGGCGCAUCGCGGUCGGAUCCAUGGGGUGCAUGGAGGCCUAACC
rnacentral:sRNA from 1 species